GGACGAAGCGACUUUUGAAUUCUUCACAAAUCCGCUUUUAUUUUUAUUCAAUAUUAUUUCUUUGCAUUAAAAAAAAGUUUUUAUUGAUUAUGAUGGAUGUUUACUUAUUGACAGUAUUUUGAACACGAAUAAAAAGUUUAUGAAUAUGAUUGCCAUAAUUUUAACUGAUCUUUGUGUUGAAGUGAACGUAACGCAAACGUUUACAUGUUAAAUAGGUUAUGAUAGAUCUUAUAACUAUGGCUGUACAAGGAACUCUAAUGUCGAAUGAUGUCUACGAGAGGAAGAACAGAAAUCCCAGAAACCAGUUUUACAAAAGACCAAUAAAAAAAGAUAAUUACAAACUGGAUGUAGAAGACGAGGAGUGUCCACAGGAAAUUCGUCGUCAAAAAUUGUUGUGUUCUCAGAAAAAAAACAGAGAUGCAGCUUUCAACGCUGGGCGUGCGAUUCUUGACGCAUGUAUUAAUUCUGAUGAAGAAAGUCUCGAAAGUAUGGAAGUUGACAAAAAGAACAGCGAGACAUUGCACCGGUAUAAGCAGUUCACAAACAAAUUGAUGAUGUCGGAAUGGAUGCUCGAAGUACCUGAAGAUUAUUUAGAAAAAUGGUUGAUUGUUCCAUGUCCAGAGGGUCGUAGGACUCUCGUUGUAGCCUGUAAAGGAAAAACGAAAGCUUAUAGCAGACGAGGAGAAAGACUGGGCAGAUUCAAUUCUGCUUUACCCGGGGGGAAUUCCAACGAGCAAAAUAAAAGUUGUACAAUUUUGGAUUGCAUCUGGCUUGCGAAGGAAAAAACUUAUUAUGCUCUUGAUGUAUUAGCGUGGUCAAACCAACCACUUUUAAAUUGUGACGCAGAAUUUCGUUUAUAUUGGUUGAAAUCAAAGCUCGCGGACAUGUCAGAUUUACAAAUGCGCAACGCGACCCGGAACACUUUUCCAAUUUUGCCGUUACCAUAUGCAUCGUGCACCGAGGAACCUUCCGAGAUUAUCGAGAAAUCUUUGUGUCUCAAGCCUCUCGAUGGUUUUUUGUUCUUCCAUCGAGAGGGACAAUACACGAACGGUCGAACUCCUCUGGUUACUUGGUUGAAACCAUUCAUGUUGAACGAAGUACUGGGAAUUACGAUUCCUAUGAGCCUUGAAGAAAAACCUGAUGGAUACAUCGAUUGUCAGCAUUACAUGGAAUCUCAAAAAUCCAGACCGAGGCCUAAAAAAGUAGUUCAGGAGAUGGACGUAGUUGAUAUUGACACCUGAAGAUUUUGACAGAUGAAAAAAAUUUGUGACUCACGACGAACCUCUCAGAGGGUAUCUGAAGAGAUUGUAAAUAUAUACAUAAAUGUCUACAUCUAAGGAAAUUGGGAAUUACACGAAGCAUGAAAGAAGAUAUCAGCAACGUGUUAUUCAAUAAUAUGAUGCAUACCCUAUUGUCCAUCAUAGUGAAAAAAGGGAAACUAAUUUUGCUCAAAAUGCAUAGUCCCAAGUGAAAACCGCCUUCGCUAAACAUCUGGGAUUUUAUCGUUUCGUGAAAUUUUAAAACGUGUUCGGCUUUUACAAACUGUCUGUUGUCAUCUUCAUCCUUCUUGCAUUCACUGAUUCUAAUAAAAAAAAAAGUUAUCAAUUACAA